CAAGCACAAGCAUAAUGUAGUAGUAGGUACGAGCGACGGUGGAAGCAAUGAUAUGCCUCACCAAUUAAAUACCUCUCUCUCUCUCUCUUCAACACCCAAAUCGCUUUCCAAUUCUUCCCCUUUCAACAUUCCUUCUUAUUAAUUAAUGCUAAUUAAAAGGGCAACCAAAACGUAAAAAAGUGAAAACCAGAUCAAUUUUCACACCCACCUCGUACCAACCAUUAACCAACACUAUGCCAAGUAAACAAACGACAAAAACAAUGUCCCACUUUAUCAAACAAAAAAACGAACCCUCUGAUUCCUUCUUCCCAGGUGGUCUUUUCCUUCACGCUAACACACUUCCCACCUCCUUCAUUGCCUUGAUUCCUUCUCCUUCUUCUUCUUCUUCCAAUUCAGAUACUGUUUCUUGGGGUAUUAGGAAAAGGUUCGGUUGCGAUAUUCUGAGGGUGGAAGCUUGUGGUGUUUUCUCGUCCUUGAGUUUGUCCAUAAAUGGAAGCGAUUCGGAUCAUACAUACACUCGAGAAUCCAAUGAAGUUAAGGUUGAAGAAAAGGAGAAUAUUCGGGUUGAUGGAUCCGGUGCUAUCAACAUGACCAAACAUCUUUGGGCUGGUGCUUUUUCCGCCAUGGUCUCAAGGACUUUUGUUGCACCCCUUGAGAGACUUAAGCUGGAAUACAUAGUUCGUGGUGAACAGAAGAAUCUUGUUGAGCUCAUUCAGACAAUUGCAGCUUCUCAAGGAUUGAAAGGUUUUUGGAAAGGAAAUUUUGUGAAUAUUCUUCGGACAGCACCCUUUAAGGCUAUAAAUUUUUAUGCCUAUGAUACAUAUAAAAGCAAAUUAGUGAGAAUGUUGGGGAAUGAAGAAUCCAAAAAUUUUGAGAGAUUUGUUGCAGGUGCUGCUGCAGGGAUUACAGCUACCUUGCUCUGCUUGCCCAUGGACACGAUCAGGACAGUAAUGGUAGCACCCGGUGGUGAAGCCUUGGGAGGUGUAAUCGGUGUCUUCCAGCAUAUGAUUAAAACAGAGGGCGUCUUUUCUCUUUACAAAGGUUUAGUACCCUCCAUUAUCAGCAUGGCACCUUCAGGUGCUGUCUACUAUGGUGUUUACGACAUUUUAAAGUCAGCAUAUCUGCAUUCACCUGAGGGAAUGAAAAGAAUACAGUAUAUGAAAGAAGAAGCUCAAGAGCUGAAUGCUUUGGAACAACUUGAAUUGGGUACCAUUAGAACUUUAUUAUACGGUGCUAUUGCUGGUUGUUGUUCUGAAGCUGCUACAUAUCCAUUUGAAGUUGUAAGGAGACAGCUUCAACUGCAAGUUCCGGCGACAAGGUUGAAUGCAGUAGCAACUUGUGUCAAGAUUGUUGAGCAAGGAGGUGUUCCUGCUCUUUAUGCAGGAUUAAUUCCCAGUUUAUUGCAGAAGCUGUAAACGGCCAAUUUCAAAGAUGGGUCUGGUUGAACUCCGACACUAUCACAUGUAGAAGCUGCUUUACUACUGCGUGUGUGCAAAUAAGUAGUUGGAUAGCGACACAAUGCAUUCGCCGACUUGAACCAUCAUCAAGAGUGGAUAAUUUAUGUCCCGACAUUGUAUUAUGGACAUGAUUUAUCAAAGUUGGAACAUAGAUCGUCCAACUUUGAUUCGCCAGUUCAGAUUGUGUGACUACAUCAGAUUGCAAAAGAGAAUCACGGUCCAUGCAAAUAACAAGUGUUGAUACCUAUGAAAUUCAUAGGACUCUAUACAAUCCAAAGAUGCCUUUUUUUUCCAAGAGAGGACGGAGGAAUUUAUGUUAAAUGUUGACCGGGUGUGGAUUGGAUUAUUUUUUCAAAGUAUCCUGAAGUCCAUAAAAUGUGUUACCAUCUGCUGCUAUUAGUUACUUUGUAUACGAAUUCAUGAAGAUAGUUCUCAAAGUAGAAUCAACAUAGAUAGAUUAUUAUACAAGCAAAUCAAAAUACAGUUUUCAUAAUUGAGGAUGAGAAUUUUCGCCACACCAUGGACCUAAGAGGUGGCUGAUUACUCACACAUACAGUAACAAGGUCUCAUUGGAUUAUGCAGCAAGCAAUGUUUUGAUGAAUAGGAGGCUUUAUGAAAAGAUCUUGAAGCUUUGUUAAAUUCUUUUCCUUUUCAUGUUGUAAUCCUUUUUAUUUUUUAUUAUGACCCCAUUUUCACUCAAAUUUAUGAUUUAAAACUUAAAAUCACUUGCAGAUAAAAUUUAACAAUUAUUUUACCUAGUAUAUUAUUUGUAAAGUUUUCACUUUUCAUGAUUUAAACUGGAGUUCUAAGCGUGUAAACUAUAGUCCGAACUCAAAAGCUAAGGAUAUUUUUUUGGUCAAGCAAA